GGGGCUGUAGCUCACCUGGGAGAGCGCUUCCAUGGCAUGGAAGAGGUAGCGAGUUCGAGUCUCGUCUGCUCCACCA
rnacentral:tRNA from 1 species